rnacentral:tRNA from 4 species
GCGGACGUAGCUCAGCUGGUAGAGCACCACCUUGCCAAGGUGGGGGUCGCGAGUUCGAAUCUCGUCGUCCGCU